rfam:Capsicum annuum cultivar Zunla-1 chromosome 5, whole genome shotgun sequence
ACCUCAUGAUUUGGGCAUUGCAUUAACUUAUUAUUGAAAUGAUGCCAAACUUCUUACAAUGGUUCAUCACUAAGUUGGCAAAAGUUGGUGAUUUCAUCCCUCAGUU